CCUACGGGGGGCUGCAGUAGGGAAUCUUCCACAAUGGGCGAAAGCCUGAUGGAGCAACGCCGCGUGGGUGAAGAAGGUCUUCGGAUCGUAAAACCCUGUUGUUAGAGAAGAAAGUGCGUGAGAGUAACUGUUCACGUUUCGACGGUAUCUAACCAGAAAGCCACGGCUAACUACGUGCCAGCAGCCGCGGUAAUAUGUAGGUGGCAAGCGUUAUCCGGAUUUAUUGGGCGUAAAGGGAACGCAGGCGGUCUUUUAAGUCUGAUGUGAAAGCCUUCGGCUUAACCGGAGUAGUGCAUUGGAAACUGGGAGACUGGAGUGCAGAAGAGGAGAGUGGAACUCCAUGUGUAGCGGUGAAAUGCGUAGAUAUAUGGAAGAACACCAGUGGCGAAAGCGGCUCUCUGGUCUGUAACUGACGCUGAGGUUCGAAAGCGUGGGUAGCAAACAGGAUUAGAUACCCGGGUAGUC
rnacentral:rRNA from 1 species